CUACAACAACCACAACUACAGCUCCUGCUACAACAAUUGUAGCUUCCACGUCAACCUCAGCAGCUGCCUCUACGACAACCACAGCAGCUCUAACUACAACAACUGUUGCUCCAAUGACAACUACAACUCCAGAACGUAUUGCAACAACCACUGCAGCUCCUGCAAUAACAACUGCUAUUCUUACAACAAUUGCGACUGCAGCACCUUCUACAAGAACUACAACUUCAGCCCCUACGACAACCACAACAGCAACACCUACAACAACUAUAGCUCCCACGACAACUGCAGCUCCUACAACAACGUUAGCAUCUACUUCAACCACAGAAGCUGCCCCUACGACAGCCAAUGCAGCCAUAAUUACACUAACUGCUGCUCCUACGACCACUACAACUCCAGAACCUACUACAACAGAACCUACUCCUACAACUACUAAGACUGCAGACCCUACCACGACAACCAGUGCAGCCCCUUCUACAACAACUACAACAGCUCUUUCAACGACUGUAAAUCCUAUGACAACAAUAGUUGGUCCUACAACCACUAUUAUAUCAAUUAAUUCUGCAGGUCCUACAACCACCACCACAACUGGCAGUUCUCAUCCUACAACAACGACUAAAACUGCAUCACCUUCAAGUACAAACACAAUUGUACUUCCAACAUCAACAUCCAGAACUACAACUUAUAACUCAACUUCUAUGAUAUCAACAACUAGAUUCGACACAGUGGGGGUUUUGUUAAACUGAUAUUCAAGGUCAAAACACCAGUCCCCACUGAGGAUGAUGUCCUUGGUGCCGUCAAGAAGCAAUUGUCUCCUCAAUUCACGACCACUCAAACCACCUUCCAGAAUGCAACUUAUAUCAAACUUACAGAUACUUCAUUUGCCAUCGACCUUGGUUUCAAAAUAACCAAUGUAACCCAGGAGUCUCUAAGUAAUAGACUCACACUCACCAAUGAGACCGAAACCCAGAUACAGGAUUCAAUUAACAGACUACUCCAAAAGGUUCUCAGUGAACCAGAUGGCAAACAGUUUAAAUUUCCCAAUGCCAACCUCAUUGUUGAUGGCACUGAAAUCACGGCAAACGUGACGUAUGUUUACAAAGAGGAAGAUGUCAACCACCCUAGUGGUUUUCUACAGGAACUCUUAAAAGUCUCAGGUCUCCUAACCACCACUGUUGCCCCAACAACAACUACCAACACCACUCCACUUCCUACCCUUUUGACUUCAGUGACAUCAACAACUAGAUUCGACACAGUGGGGUUUUUGUUAAACUGAUAUUCAAGGUCAAAACACCAGUCCCCACUGAGGAUGAUGUCCUUGGUGCCGUCAAGAAGCAAUUGUCUCCUCAAUUCACGACCACUCAAACCACCUUCCAGAAUGCAACUUAUAUCAAACUUACAGAUACUUCAUUUGCCAUCGACCUUGGUUUCAAAAUAACCAAUGUAACCCAGGAGUCUCUAAGUAAUAGACUCACACUCACCAAUGAGACCGAAACCCAGAUACAGGAUUCAAUUAACAGACUACUCCAAAAGGUUCUCAGUGAACCAGAUGGCAAACAGUUUAAAUUUCCCAAUGCCAACCUCAUUGUUGAUGGCACUGAAAUCAGGGCAAACGUGACGUAUGUAUACAAAGAGGAAGAUGUCAACCACCCUAGUGGUUUUCUACAGGAACUCUUAAAAGUCUCAGGUCUCCUAACCACCACUGUUGCCCCAACAACAACUACCAACACCACUCCACUUCCUACCCUUUUGACUUCAGUGACAUCAACAACUAGAUUCGACACAGUGGGGGGUUUU